AAAAAAUUGCCAGCGUUUCUAAAAACCUGUUUCAGCUUUGUGUCGUUGUGGGGUACUGUGUCGUUGUGGGGUACUGUGUCGUUGUGGGGUACAGUGUCGUUGUGGGGUACUGUGUCGUUGUGGGGUACAGUGUCGUUGUGGGGUACAGUGUCGUUGUGGGGUACAGUGUCGUUGUGGGGUACAGUGUCGUUGUGGGGUACAGUGUCGUUGUGGGGUACAGUGUCGUUGUGGGGUAUUGUGGGGUACAGUGGCAUUGUGGGGUACAGUGGCAUUGUGGGGUACAGUGGCGUUGUGUAGUGUCGUAGUGGGGUACAGUGUCGUUGUGGGGUAUUGUGUCGUUGUGGGGUAUUGUGUCGUAGUGGGGUUGUGGGGUAUAGUGUCGUUGUGUGGUGUCGUUGUGGGGUACAGUGUCGUUGUGUGGUAUAGUGUCGUUGUGGGGUAUGGUGGCGUUGUGGGGUAUAGUGGCGUUGUGGGGUAUAGUGGGGUAUAGUGGCGUUGUGGGGUAUAGUGGCGUUGUGGGGUACAGUGUCGUUGUGGGGUACGGUGUCGUUGUGGGGUACGGUGGGGUGGGGGUAGUGUCGUUGUGGGGUAUAGUGUCGUUGUGGGGUAUUGUGUCGUUGUGGGGUGCGGUGGGGUAUAGUGUCGUUGUGGGGUAUAGUGUCGUUGUGGGGUACAGUGUCGUUGUGGGGUAUUGUGUCGUUGUGGGGUAUUGUGUCGUUGUGGGGUACAGUGUCGUUGUGGGGUAUUGUGUCGUUGUGGGGUAUUGUGUCAUUGUGGGGUAUAGUGUGGGGUAUAGUGUCGUUGUGUGGUAUAGUGUCAUUGUGGGGUACAGUGUCGUUGUGAGGUACAGUGUCGUUGUGGGGUACAGUGUCGUUGUGGGGUAUUGUGUCGUUGUGGGGUAUAGUGGGGUAUAGUGUCGUUGUGGGGUAUAGUGUCGUUGUGGGGUAUUGUGUCGUUGUGGGGUAUAGUGGGGUAUAGUGUCGUUGUGUGGGGUAUAGUGUCGUUGUGGGGUACAGUGUCGUUGUGGGGUACAGUGGCGUUGUGGGGU
ensembl:lncRNA